CCAAAGCGCACUAUGUGCCAGGCAAGCCAGAAGAUCACACGCCAUUUCCUGGUCUGCCGGCAGGUCAGGUGUGACUGUGGUUUGGAGUAGUGACCAGGCACAGCCCCAAAAGCCCAGGCCUUGUUGCUAAACCUUAUUGGUGUCUUUGAGAAGUCUUGCCUCCUGAUGCUGCCAUCUCCCUGAUGGGGAACGGUUCCAUCUAAUCCAGCUGUCCUGCUUGCUUUCUCAAGAGACGGACCGAGAGGCUGUGAAGAAGCUCUUGUUUCCAGACGGAAGCAGCGGCUCCCUGCCAGUCCCUCCCGACGAAGCGCAGGCAACGCAAGGCGCCGGCACGCCAGUGCUGUCGGAGUCCGGAGAAGACCACCAGGCCAGCAGAUACGAUUUUUUCCAAGCGGACUCAGAUGCGGUCGGAAAGAGAAUCGCAAGUGCUGACCUUCCCCAGAGGGCCGCAGGUGUUUUAUGCCCCCCAGAUGUGCGAAGGCG